UGCUAACACUGCAAUUAAACCUGAAUACUGAGGUUUUAGUUUAGGAAAAACAACCCAUACAUUAACAUCAUUUGUUUUAAAAGAAAAACAAUAACACACAUGCCAUAGGUUUGGAACCACUGCUGUAUACCUUGUAGUGUUUUUAUUUUGUCUCUAGUGCAUUGAUUUUGAAGUAAGUCAUUCACAGUUCCCUGUUUCUAGUAUGAUUGCUGACAUGUAUUUGGCUUGUGGGAUUAGGGACACUGUCUUAAGUGUUGGAAUGAAGUAAACAGCAGUUACAGUAGUCCCCACCUGUCCCCUGCCACUCAAGGGGAUAUAUUUCAAGCUCCACAGUGGAUGACUGAAACUGAAAAAGAAUUUUCCAUUUAAUUUUGGAUCAUAGUUUUUGGAUGAUGGUUGACAGUGGGCAGCUGAAACUGAAGAAAGCAAAACCAUGGAUAAAGAGAGACAACUGGUCUUGCUAUGGUGCUAAAUUGCCCAGGCUGGGCCAGAACUUUUGAUCAUCCUGAGUCUCCCAGAGUUCUGAGAUUAUAGAAUAGCUGGGCUCUAUAAUCUGUGACCAUUGAUGCUGACUUCAGAAGUAGUAACGGUUUAUCUUGGAGAGGUUUGUUGAGUGAUUGUCCGUCCAGCUUUUCCCUCUCCUUCUGGAAGAAUCCUUGGAAUGUCUCUGAUUUUGUUGUUAAAAUGUGCAGGACUGAUGAACAUGCAAGACAAGUAAAAUCCAUAGUGGCUGGCUUCAAGAUCUUUAGGCUUAGCAAAGGAUCAUGAAGAGUUUGGUUGGAAAUAGAGAAAUCCAAUGUCAAUGUCUAAUAAAUAUUUCUGGUUGAACACCUUUCCUCUGCUAUGCCCUUCCACCAUGCCAUUUCUGCCUUGGAGCCAGCCAGCCGUGGACUGAAACCUUUGAACCAUGAACCAAAAUAAAC
rnacentral:lncRNA from 1 species